ACGUAGGGGGCGAGCGUUGUCCGAAUUUAUUGGGCGUAAAGCGCGUGUAGGCGGCUCUUUAAGUCAGAUGUGAAAUCUUGCGGCUCAACCGCAAAACUGCAUUUGAUACUGGAGGGCUUGAGUAAGGGAGAGGAAAGUGGAAUUCCUGGUGUAGCGGUGAAAUGCGUAGAUAUCAGGAGGAACACCCAUGGCGAAGGCAGCUUUCUGGCCUUUUACUGACGCUGAGACGCGAAAGCUAGGGGAGCGAACGG
rnacentral:rRNA from 1 species